GUCUGUUUAAAACAAAACAACCUCUCCCAAAAAUAACUACCAAACCCAACAGAAGAACAUUCUGCUGGCCCCACUAAACCAAAUAAUCAGACAAUAACAACAUGAUGCCAUUCCAACUUAAUGAAAAUGAAUCAUUGGUGUGGGCUGGAGGAUUGAUGCUGUGAUCACACACUUGGAAUCUGCUGGUGGUGGAGAAGGGGCAGCAAGCUCUGCAGCCAUAGGCUCCAGUGUAACGCAAAUAUCAGGAGUGGCAAAGAAGAGAAAUCACAGAGUUAUCACAGCAUGUCCUGUGGGAUUUUUUGGAACAAAGGACAACUUGAGUUUCCCAAUUAGGUUUCUGCAUGUGCUUUGUGCUCCCUAACUCUUCCUGUUGACUGAGAGCACAGGACUCUGUGCCCUGAUGUUCCAAAACCCUGUGAAACCUGAUGUUCCAAAGUUGUGGGGAAAUUAAAUGAGCAAUUUCGAUGCUGGGUGGGUGGAUAUAAAUAGAACAAAAAUGCUCUUAGUAAGUAGUGUUCUAUAAGUGGCUCAAAUGACUGCUAUAUGAAGGUCAGUUUGAAAAAACCUGGUUAAACCUGUAAUAGCAACUGUGGAAAUCUAAGCAGAUAUUUCAAACACUGUCCACCUUUUUCUUUCUGUCUACAAAGUCUAUGAAGUCUAAUCCAAGAAAGGAGGAAUAGGGUACCUAAUGUACCUCAUGUGGUGGAAAAAGGGCAUCUUUUUAUCCCUAUUUUAUAAGGAAUUUAUAAGCAGAAAAUGAUGCAAAAUUUAAUUAGGAGAAAUUAUUUUCUUAUAUGCUGGAAACACAUUAAUUCCUUCCUAUAGUAAAAUCUUUGUAUAUUUGGGGAAUAUUUUGCAAUAUAUCACUGGCAAAAAGAAUCUGGCUUCAUAUUGCUACAAGAAUUUUUGGGUUUUAACAAACUAUUUAAAGAAACUUCCCUUAAGGGCUAUUAAUCACUGAAAUAGCUAUAAGCAUAGUUUUAAUGAAUCAAGAUCAUAUUUCAUAGCUUUAUUAUUUUCUUUAAAAAAUUAUUGUAUACAAAAGGCUGAAAAAGUAGUUAUGAAAUCCAAAUUAAUAGUAACUCUUAAAAAAACCCCAGAAAAUCACAUAUAUAUUUGCAAUUUAAAAUCAGGAUAGUUUUACAGAAGAUCAAGCUUGUUUUCUGCUUUUGAAAGAAGAUAGGGAGAAUUGCAUUCCUUUGAUUGCAUAGCUGUGAUUGCAGACAGUGAUAUGCUAACAAUGAUUGCCGGAAUUUUCAGAAAACUUCAUAAUGAUAAUUCAUUUACAGUUGGACAUUUGACUGCAUAUUCCAUGUCUCUUUAACAAUGCUUUUUUCUGAGGCUACAAAUCCUUGACUUCUGUGUCUUCAACAGAAUAAAGUGAGCUGGGUUCUUAGGAAGACUUGUCCAAAAGUCCCAUGUCACACAUAACCGAAAUUAUUUAGAAUUUUGACCUAAUGCCAUCUGUAUUAUCCAACAUCUGUUAAGCUGUUGUGAUCACACCACUUUUUUCCGUCUUUCUCUCUUUAUACAGUCACACAAUUUCCUUAUUUUUUUUGUUUUCUCUUAUUCAUCCAGGAAAAGCUGGUGAAAGCAGGUUGCGUGAUUUGCUCAUUUGCACUGCACAAAGCACAGGCAGGUCCUGGGCUGUGCUUCCAGGCUGCACAACAGGCAAAUGGAGCAGAUACAUGAAACAAUAUAAAAGCAUUAAAAGAUGACUUGGCUUCUUUCCAAACAAAUUGGGAUUGCACAGCCUGGGAAAGGGAAGGCUUUGGGGGGACCUAA
rnacentral:lncRNA from 1 species